AUGGUGGUAACGGGUAACGGGGUGUUAGGGCACGACACCGGAGAGGGAGCCUGAGAAACGGCUACCACAUCCAAGGAUGGCAGCAGGCGCGCAAAUUACCCAAUCCCGGCACGGGGAGGUAGUGACAAUAAAUAACAAUACGGGGUUCUUUCGGAUCUCGUAAUUGGAAUGAGUACAAUUUAAAUCUCUUAACGAGGAACAAUUGGAGGGCAAGUCUGGUGCCAGCAGCCGCGGUAACUCCAGCUCCAAUAGCGUAUAUUAAAGUUGUUGCAGUUAAAAAGCUCGUAGUUGAAUUUCGGGGUUAGCAGGUCGGUCGUGCCAUCGGUAUGAACUGGUCUCGCUGAUCCCUCCCUCUUGACGAACUGUGAUGCCAUUAAUUUGGUGUCGCAGGGAAUCAGGACUGUUACUUUGAAAAAAUUAGAGUGUUUAAAGCAGGCUCACGCUUGAAUACAUUAGCAUGGAAUAAUGAAAUAGGACGUUUGAUCCUAUUUUGUUGGUUUCUAGGAUUGACGUAAUGAUUAAUAGGGAUAGUUGGGGGCAUUAGUAUUCAAUUGUCAGAGGUGAAAUUCUUGGAUUUAUUGAAGACUAACUACUGCGAAAGCAUUUGCCAAGGAUGUUUUCAUUAAUCAAGAACGAAAGUUAGGGGAUCGAAGACGAUCAGAUACCGUCGUAGUCUUAACCAUAAACUAUGCCGA
rnacentral:rRNA from 1 species